GAGAUAAGAGAUACCAAAAGAGUAGAAACAAACUCUCUUUCUUCUUUGCUGCCCCUUUGAUUUUGCAUUAAACUACAAACCAAACCCAUAAAAUCAAAAUUCUCAUCUAUUCAAACCAACAUUUAAUGCCACCGUUUAUUAGAAUGACAAAAUGGGUUUUUAUUUUUGGUGUGAUUAAGCAAAAACAGAGUAUUUUCUCUGCUAAAUUGAUUCACUUUCCCGGAAAAAGGAAUCGUAAAGAAUCGAGCAACCCUUUUUUCUCUCUAGCUGUCUUUUUACUAGUGUGUCUGAACUAAACUGGAAAGAUUGAAACUUCUUCCUCGGAGAAAGUGGAAAUGAUCAAAGUUCGUUGUAUCAUCAAAUGGGGAGAGAAAGACCUCACAGGUUUGGAGAAGUCGGAUCUAUGAAGCGGUGCCCUCUAGAGAGUAUUUUUCUCUCGUUGAUUUGACUUCUUUACUCGGAGGAUUCAGAUUAAAUAACAUAAUUUUCGGUAUUUACAAAAAAGUCAACUAUCUUCAUUUUUCAGUAUUUAAACUUACAGAAAGUUCAUGUUUUGUCCUAAUGAGAAUGGUUGUCUAAUUUUUUUUGUAGUGCUAAUUAGUUGAUUUCACUUUAUCCUUGUUAAUUGUUCAUUAUCUUAACUUUAAUUAUUUAGUUAUGUA